UAACUAUCUGCUAGGUCAGUUAAUUGACAGAAAGGAUUUGUGAAUUGUCUAAUAUGUGCAAGGCACUGGGAAUAUAAACAAAGAUAAAAGCAAUCUCAGUCCUCAAGGAGCUCCCAAUCUAAUGAAGGGGACAACAUAUACGGCAGUUUUUACAGAUUGAAGGUCUGUGGCAAACUUGUGUCAAGGAAAUUAGGCAAAUCAAUAACACCACAAGG
rnacentral:lncRNA from 1 species